rnacentral:rRNA from 1 species
GAGGUUCCAGGUAAAUCCGGUACCUUUUUAACGCUGAGGUGUGAUGACGAGGCACUACGGUGCUGAAGUAACAAAUGCCCUGCUUCCAGGAAAAGCCUCUAAGCAUCAGGUAACACGAAAUCGUACCCCAAACCGACACAGGUGGUCAGGUAGAGAAUACCAAGGCGCUUGAGAGAACUCGGGUGAAGGAACUAGGCAAAAUGGUGCCGUAACUUCGGGAGAAGGCACGCUGAUAUGUAGGUGAAGUGAUUUACUCAUGGAGCUGAAAUCAGUCGAAGAUACCAGCUGGCUGCAACUGUUUAUUAAAAACACAGCACUGUGCAAACACGAAAGUGGACGUAUACGGUGUGACGCCUGCCCGGUGCCGGAAGGUUAAUUGAUGGGGUUAUCCGUAAGGAGAAGCUCUUGAUCGAAGCCCCGGUAAACGGCGGCCGUAACUAUAACGGUCCUAAGGUAGCGAAAUUCCUUGUCGGGUAAGUUCCGACCUGCACGAAUGGCGUAAUGAUGGCCAGGCUGUCUCCACCCGAGACUCAGUGAAAUUGAACUCGCUGUGAAGAUGCAGUGUACCCGCGGCAAGACGGAAAGACCCCGUGAACCUUUACUAUAGCUUGACACUGAACACUGGUCCUUGAUGUGUAGGAUAGGUGGGAGGCUUUGAAGUGUGGACGCCAGUCUGCAUGGAGCCAUCCUUGAAAUACCACCCUUUAAUGGCUGGUGUUCUAACGUGGACCCGUGAUCCGGGUUGCGGACAGUGUCUGGUGGGUAGUUUGACUGGGGCGGUCUCCUCCUAAAGAGUAACGGAGGAGCACGAAGGUUAGCUAAUCCUGGUCGGACAUCAGGAGGUUAGUGCAAAGGCAUAAGCUAGCUUGACUGCGAGAGUGACGGCUCGAGCAGGUGCGAAAGCAGGUCUUAGUGAUCCGGUGGUUCUGAAUGGAAGGGCCAUCGCUCAACGGAUAAAAGGUACUCCGGGGAUAACAGGCUGAUACCGCCCAAGAGUUCAUAUCGACGGCGGUGUUUGGCACCUCGAUGUCGGCUCAUCACAUCCUGGGGCUGAAGUAGGUCCCAAGGGUAUGGCUGUUCGCCAUUUAAAGUGGUACGCGAGCUGGGUUUAGAACGUCGUGAGACAGUUCGGUCCCUAUCUGCC